rnacentral:rRNA from 1 species
UACGUAGGGUGCAAGCGUUGUCCGGAAUUAUUGGGCGUAAAGAGCUCGUAGGCGGUCUGUCGCGUCGGCUGUGAAAACCCGGGGCUCAACCCCCGGGCCUGCAGUCGAUACGGGCAGACUAGAGUGCGGCAGGGGAGACUGGAAUUCCUGGUGUAGCGGUGAAAUGCGCAGAUAUCAGGAGGAACACCGGUGGCGAAGGCGGGGUCUCUGGGCCGAUACUGACGCUGAGGAGCGAAAGCGUGGGGAGCGAACAGG